ensembl:lncRNA
AGAAAGAUAAUCUUGAGUAGGGGAAGAAAGUUAUAAAUAGAAGUAAGAGGACAGGAGCUGUUGUGACCAGCAGCCAGCUCGACCGGCGCCGGAGAAAAAAAGAAAUAUAGUACUGUCGCUUUUAAGAUGAUCACAUUUUAACCCAAACUAUUGUAUGAAAUUUAACAGCUUUAAAAGUCACGUGAAUUUUAAAACAAACUUAUUCUAUGGGCACACAGCCCAUGGAAAUCAAGGAGGUUCAGUUAUUUCGACAAUUUUAUUGAUUUUCGGAACUAGAGACUUGAUGUCGUGUUCGUGUUUUCUUCUGCAUGCUUUUAACAUCGUAAUGUCCAACGCACCUUGUUCGUGUUGUUCCGUGUAAUUCUAAUUUAAACUAUUGGUUGAUUACUAUUUUUGUUUCAGGUGCCCCAACCAACCUUCUUAUCAAGCCUCUCUUCCACCGCUACCACCUCUUAGCAAGCCUCUGGUGGGACGGGUUCAUCCUCUGUGCUGAGACUUAAUUAUGAUAUGCCACAGCAACGUCAGCCCCAAGUAUUGGCUGAGGUGGAGUCAACUUUAGCAGCCGUGAUGCAGCAUCGUAAUGCACAAUACUGCGCCCUACAGAACCUCGCAGCGCAGAUGAAGGCACUCCCUAAAGUUGUGGGCUGUGAGCUGCCACCUACUCGGGAUUUGCUGGUUAUAGACGGACAUGGAUCUACUCUGCAGCUUGCAUUAUUACACGCCAAGUGUGUGUUUCACUGUUUGAUAAAGGGAAGGGAACAAACUCAAUACUUGGUGGAGAAAACGUUGGCUGCAAUACAUCUGAAUCUGAACUGUGAUAAAGAAAAAUAACGUGACAGCGGAUGAAGUUUGUUCCCGAGAACAGGAAAAAAAAACAGUUGUGAUUCUGAUGUUGGUAAUAACAUGAGAUGUAUUCAUUAGGUAAUACUACAGAAAAUGUCUUAUUACCAAUAUGUUUCUUCAUAGUGUGAAUUUGAGGUUUGACUUGGAGUUUUGACAUGCUGCAUUUUUCACGCAGUCACUUUGGUUUUGACAUUAAUUUUGUCGAUUUGAUUCUGCUUCAAACAAAAGCUUUAAGAUUUGACCAAGAAUGGGUUUAGGUUUAUUGAAGACAUUUACACAGACACGUCUACUGAAGAAGAGGCAUAACUGUACUGUGGCUAAAUGUACAAUAGUACCAGUAGUUCCACUCCUCUAUUGUAGCUUUGACUUGUCUGUAGUUACAUUUCAAGUUUUCAUACAACAUUUGUUCUUCUUUAAAUGUUCUUUGUUUUUCUGGAAGUCCUGAUGAGAUUUGUACAAGCAGACUUGAAGCUACAGUACAACGUCUUAAUUUACGGAAGCCAACUGUGCGGCUCUUCUACUACUUUGUUAUUGAGUGUGCUCGCUUUCUCCGUCACCUCCUGGUUUAAUUCCAUUAGCCUGCAAAGAAAGAAAUCUGUCGGGACCCCUCACAUCCUAAGUCCCAUGUUCCAGUGGCUCCCAUCAGGACACAGACUCCCUGAUGCAGGACCCAAAUAGGAGAAACCCUGUAAUCCCAGCAGUAGUUAUCCAUCAGAAUGCUGUCCUGUACAAUGACGCUUUUAAUUGAUCUUAUUAGUAAUAUUAAUUUUCCUGGAUGCUUGCUUUACCUUAAUGGCCUUCAGGGAUAAAUAAUAGAGAUAAAGUGUUUUGAAUUGAAUUGAUCAAUACAUUAUAAAUACCUGAAAUACUUAUGUACAUAUUAUUCAAAGAAAUAAAUUAAAAACAAAUCUAUGUUGUGAAGUUCA